rnacentral:misc_RNA from 1 species
CGCACAUUGCGCCCGUCAGUAUUCUGGCGGGCAUGCCUGUUCGAGCGUCAUUACGCCCCUCAAGUCCCCUGUGGACUUGGUGUUGGGGAUCGGCGAGGCUGGUUUUCCAGCACAGCCGUCCCUCAAAUCAAUUGGCGGUCUCGCCGUGGCCCUCCUCUGCGCAGUAGUAAAACACUCGCAACAGGAGCCCGGCGCGGUCCACUGCCGUAAAACCCCCCAACUUUUUAUAGUUGACCUCGAAUCAGGUAGGACUACCCGCUGAACUUAA